rnacentral:rRNA from 1 species
GUGAGUAGUUCAGAGUUUGAUCCUGGCUCAGGACGAACGCUGGCGGCGUGCCUAACACAUGCAAGUCGAACGAGAAUCGCUUGAACAGAGGCUUCGGCCAACGGGAUGGUGAGGAAAGUGGCGAACGGGUGAGUAACGCGUGAGGAACCUGCCUCUCAGUGGGGGACAACAGUUGGAAACGACUGCUAAUACCGCAUAAUGUAACGAGACCGCAUGAUCUUGUUACCAAAGAUUUAUUGCUGAGAGAUGGCCUCGCGUCUGAUUAGCUAGUUGGUGGGGUAACGGCCCACCAAGGCGACGAUCAGUAGCCGGUCUGAGAGGAUGAACGGCCACAUUGGGACUGAGAUACGGCCCAG